UUUGAGGUUUGGGUAACAUUUUCGGUUUUUGUUUCAGCUUCUCCAAGAUUAAAGCUUUUUGUAUUCGUCGUGUUCUUCUUCACAACACAUUAAAGUUUCAUGAUAUUUUGUUUCAGUAAAAACUUUGACACUCAUUCUUUCAAAUUUGUAAAUCAUGAUUCUUGCGGAUGUUUAUUUGUGUUGUUCUUGGUUUCACAGGCAAGUGAUGUUGAUAGAUCUAAAGGAAAAGUUGUUGAUUUCUUGUCGAUUUUUCUUCACCGUGUUUCUAGAGAUCCUGAGGCUUAUUAUGUUCUGUGUCUCUAUACUCAGUACUACAAACAAGCACAAUUAGAAACCAUGGUUAGUGAAAAAGCUGCCAUAGAAUUUCAGUUGGAGAAGGAAAUUAAGCGAAUUAAGGAAGUAUAGGUAUGUGUUUUGGCUUCUGUGGCUACUUCAUUAUUAAUUUUGUCUUGGCUAGGUUUUGACACCAUUUUCAUGUUGAACAGGCAGAGAUCGAAAGAAGUAGAGUUACUUGCCGAGCAUCAUUUUUUUUACUGCUUAUCACUCUUCCAAAUCAUUUUUCUGUUGUUUAUUAGUUGAUUUCUUACAAAUAUCGCUUUUUCAGUUGUUGCACUGAACCUGCUCAUUUAGUUAGCCAACUAACCUUUUUAUCACCAGCUACUUGAGAAUUUUAUCACCAGAUGGCCAUCACCAUUCUCUGUGGUGUUAUGAAUAGCUAAGUUGAUUUCUCUGUCCAUAAUUCAUAAGCCAAUUUUUAUUUUUUAAGCACUUACUCCUACUUAACUUCUGACAGUAAGUUUGUUUACUGCUCAUAUUUUUCUUAAGGUAUUUACUAUAUAUUCAAGUUAAUUGCAGAACCAAAUCAUAGUCUUUCACUUUCCCAUUUUCAGCCUACCAUGUCUGCUUCCCAUUUUCAGCCUACCCUUGUUAGAGGUUAUCCCAAGAACAUUCAAUUGAGGAGCUAGGAAUGACCAAAAAGUGUGAAGCAUGCCAAGAUGGAAUGACCCCCCACCUUCAUCUUGACUUAUUUUGGAAAAAAACGUUUGCUGCUCUAAAUCUUUCUGUGCAACACUGUUAAGCUAGAACACGAAAACAGCCAGCACACGAAAGCCAUUCUGGUUGACAGCUUUUUCAAAUGCCCCUUCUCUUUAUCUUUUCUUUUAAGCAAUGGGUAAAACACACUUGAGCUAUGUCAGCUUCAUCUUGGUACACGGAUAAAUAAUGGAUUCACUAUUUCAGAGCUGGUAUAUUUGUACUUCUUUAACUUUUUUUGGGUACACCAAAUUUAUCAAGGGUGAUCCUUCAAUUUAAGAU